UAGGAUUACAGACAUGCCGUACCACUCU
rnacentral:piRNA from 1 species